CUGAACAAAAGCACCAUAUCCCGUCCGAUUUGUGAAGUUAACCACUUACAGGCCCAGUUAGUACUGAGGUCAGUGAUGACUCGGGAACCCUGAGU